rnacentral:lncRNA from 1 species
CGUUCCUUCUCUAACCUACGGGAGCCACCGCUAGUUCGCUCCUUCUCAUCAUGCCGCGAAUUGCCACUACCUCGCUCCUUCUCCCCAGGACGCGAGCUGCCACCAGAUCGUCCCGCCUCUGCUUUAUGUACAGACGACAUAAAGGCCUUCUUCAGCGACUUCCUCCUCUCUAGUUCUUCUUCAACUGUUUUUGGACGACCUUUGGGAAUAAAAUGCUCCCUCAGGUGGGGUAGGAACUGUAUCUUCCGACUAUCAGCCAACAAACCAAAACUGUUCAGC